rnacentral:lncRNA from 1 species
ACGGAUCCCAUGUGGCUCCACCACUCCCUGGCGGGUCGCGACAACGGAUGCCGCUCCACUCUCCGCAACUGAUUCCACAUGGCGAGCCAUGGUGACGGCCACGACUAGCCACGACUCCACCCCAUUACUCUUCAUGAUAAAUUCCUUCUGGCUCCGUGCGGCCCACUACUAGACGGUUACAAAUGUCGCUAUCAAUCCGUUGCUCCCUCUGCCU